rnacentral:ribozyme from 1 species
UGUUACUUGGGUCCUAUCCCUACCUCCACGCGGUACCGGCCGGAAACUAUGACCAACCUUAGGGAAGAUCGGGUAACCAACACCGGUGGGAACUUUGGUCGUAGGCUGACAGGGAAGG